AUUAAGUUUAAUUUUAGUUUUUAGAUAUAAUAUUUUGACUCUUCGUCUUAUUUAAAUAAUUUUUAUGAUUAAUAUUUUUAUUGUUACUAUAUGAUAAAAUAUGAAUUGAAUUUUAUGUGUGACGAGUUUUCGUAUAAAUUUUUCAAAUGAGACGAAUGAUCAAACGAUGGACAUCGAAAUCGAAAAAUAAAAUUACG
rnacentral:pre_miRNA from 1 species